ensembl:ncRNA K08B4.43 ncRNA
GAUCGACGUGGGAAAAUUCGACGGGAAAAGAGAGUGGGCUUAUGAAUUAGCCACCAGUCGAUGCAGCUAACAGAAGCACACGCGCGCUCACACUCUCACCAUUCGGCGGUUUUCAGUUUCCCAAAUAACAAGGGAAAGG